AACGAACGCUGGCGGCAGGCUUAACACAUGCAAGUCGAGCGAGGACUUCGGUCCUAGCGGCGGACGGGUUAGUAACGCGUGGGAACGUGCCCCUUUCUUCGGAAUAGCCUCGGGAAACUGGGAGUAAUGCCGGAUACGCCCCUUACGGGGGAAAGAUUUAUCGGAGAGGGAUCGGCCCGCGUUGGAUUAGGUAGUUGGUGGGGUAAUGGCCUACCAAGCCGACGAUCCAUAGCUGGUUUGAGAGGAUGAUCAGCAACACUGGGACUGAGACACGGCCCAGACUCCUACGGGUGGCAG
rnacentral:rRNA from 1 species